rnacentral:rRNA from 1 species
GACGAACGCUGGCGGCGUGCUUAACACAUGCAAGUCGAACGGAAAGGCCCUGCUUUUGUGGGGUGCUCGAGUGGCGAACGGGUGAGUAACACGUGAGUAACCUGCCCUUGACUUGGGGUAACUUCAGGAAACCGGGGCUAAUACCGGAUAGGAGCUCCCUCUGCAUGGGGGGGGGUGGAAAGUUUCGGCGGUUGGGGAUGGACUCGCGGCUUAUCAGCUUGUUGGUGGGGUAGUGGCUUACCAAGGCUUUGACGGGUAGCCGGCCUGAGAGGGUGACCGGCCACAUUGGGACUGAGAUACGGCCCAGACUCCUACGGGAGGCAGCAGUGGGGAAUAUUGCACAAUGGGCGGAAGCCUGAUGCAGCAACGCCGCGUGCGGGAUGACGGCCUUCGGGUUGUAAACCGCUUUCGCCUGUGACGAAGCGUGAGUGACGGUAAUGGGUAAAGAAGCACCGGCUAACUACGUG